rnacentral:rRNA from 1 species
AUUGAACGCUGGCGGCAUGCCUUACACAUGCAAGUCGAACGGCAGCACGGGAGCAAUCCUGGUGGCGAGUGGCGAACGGGUGAGUAAUAUAUCGGAACGUGCCCGGUCGUGGGGGAUAACGUAGCGAAAGCUACGCUAAUACCGCAUACGAUCUACGGAUGAAAGCGGGGGAUCGCAAGACCUCGCGCGAUUGGAGCGGCCGAUAUCAGAUUAGGUAGUUGGUGAGGUAAAGGCUCACCAAGCCGACGAUCUGUAGCUGGUCUGAGAGGACGACCAGCCACACUGGAACUGAGACACGGUCCAGACUCCUACGGGAGGCAGCAGUGGGGAAUUUUGGACAAUGGACGCAAGUCUGAUCCAGCCAUUCCGCGUGCAGGAUGAAGGCCCUCGGGUUGUAAACUGCUUUGUACGGAACGAAAGGUCUCUUCUAAUAAAGGGGGACCCAUGACGGUACCGUAAGAAUAAGCACCGGCUAACUACGUGCCAGCAGCCGACGG